CCUACGGGAGGCAGCAGUGAGGAAUAUUGGUCAAUGGGAGAGAUCCUGAACCAGCCAAGCCGCGUGAGGGAAGACGGCCCUAUGGGUUGUAAACCUCUUUUGUCGGAGAACAAAACCCGGGACGUGUCCCGGACUGCGUGUAUCCGAAGAAAAAGCAUCGGCUAACUCCGUGCCAGCAGCCGCGGUAAUACGGAGGAUGCGAGCGUUAUCCGGAGUUAUUGGGGUUAAAGGGUGCGUAGGCGGUCCGUUACGUCAGCGGUAAAAUUGCGGGGCGCAACCCCGUCGAGCCGUUGGAACUGGCAGACUGGAGUGGGCGAGAAGGACGCGGAAUGCGCGGUGUAGCGGUGAAAGGCGUAGAGAGCGCGCAGAACUCCGAUUGCGAGGGCAGCGUACCGGCGCCAGACUGACGCUGAGGCACGAAAGCGUGGGGAUCGAACAGGAUUAGAUACCCCAGUAGUG
rnacentral:rRNA from 1 species